CGGGGGGGCAAGCGUUGUUCGGAAUUACUGGGCGUAAAGGGUGCGUAGGCGGCUUUCUAAGUCGGAUGUGAAAACUCUGGGCUCAACCAGAGCCUGCAUCUGAAACUGGAGAGCAGGGUUUUGAGGGGAAAGCGGAAUUCCUGGUGUAGCGGUGAAAUGCGUAGAUAUCAGGAGGAACACCGGUGGCGAAGGCGGCUUUCUGGACAAAUACCGACGCUGAGGCACGAAAGCUAGGGGAGCAAACAGGAUUAGAUACCCUGGUAGUCCUAGCCCUAAACGAUGGAUACUUGCUGUGGGGGGGAUUGAAGCCCCUUGUGGCGAAGCUAACGCAUUAAGUAUCCCGCCUGGGGAGUACGGUCGCAAGGCUG
rnacentral:rRNA from 1 species